ensembl:misc_RNA Metazoa_SRP Metazoan signal recognition particle RNA
GCUGGGUGUGGUGGCGCACACCUGUAGUCCCAGCUACUUGGGAGGCUGAGGCAGGAGAAUCUCUUGAACCUAGGAGGCAGUGGUUGCAGUGAGCUGAGAUCAUGCCACUGCACUCAGCCUGGGUGACAGAGUGAGACUCUGACUCAA